rnacentral:rRNA from 1 species
GAUGAACGCUGGCGGCGUGCUUAACACAUGCAAGUCGAACGGAAAGGCCCAAGCUUGCUUGGGUACUCGAGUGGCGACCGGGUGAGUAACACGUGGGUGAUCUGCCCUGCACUUCGGGAUAAGCCUGGGAAACUGGGUCUAAUACCGGAUAGGACGAUGGUUUGGAUGCCAUUGUGGAAAGUUUUUUCGGUGUGGGAUGAGCUCGCGGCCUAUCAGCUUGUUGGUGGGGUAAUGGCCUACCAAGGCGUCGACGGGUAGCCGGCCUGAGAGGGUGUACGGCCACAUUGGGACUGAGAUACGGCCCAGACUCCUACGGGAGGCAGCAGUGGGGAAUAUUGCACAAUGGGCGCAGGCCUGAUGCAGCGACGCCGCGUGGGGGAUGACGGCCUUCGGGUUGUAAACUCCUUUCGCUAGGGACGAAGCGUUUUUGUGACGGUACCUGGAGAAGAAGCACCGGCUAACUACGUG